rnacentral:rRNA from 1 species
GCUCAGGAUGAACGCUGGCGGCGUGCUUAACACAUGCAAGUCGAACGAGAAGAGAUGAGAAGCUUGCUUCUUAUCAAUUCGAGUGGCAAACGGGUGAGUAACGCGUAAGCAACCUGCCCUUCAGAUGGGGACAACAGCUGGAAACGGCUGCUAAUACCGAAUACGUUCUUUCCGCCGCAUGACGGAAUGAAGAAAGGGAGGCCUUCGGGCUUUCGCUGGAGGAGGGGCUUGCGUCUGAUUAGCUAGUUGGAGGGGUAACGGCCCACCAAGGCGACGAUCAGUAGCCGGUCUGAGAGGAUGAACGGCCACAUUGGGACUGAGACACGGCCCAGACUCCUACGGGAGGCAGCAGUA